UGGGGAAUUUUGGACAAUGGGGGAAACCCUGAUCCAGCCAUCCCGCGUGUGCGAUGAAGGCCUUCGGGUUGUAAAGCACUUUUGGCAGGAAAGAAACGUCAUGGGUUAAUACCCCGUGAAACUGACGGUACCUGCAGAAUAAGCACCGGCUAACUACGUGCCAGCAGCCGCGGUAAUACGUAGGGUGCAAGCGUUAAUCGGAAUUACUGGGCGUAAAGCGUGCGCAGGCGGUUCGGAAAGAAAGAUGUGAAAUCCCAGAGCUCAACUUUGGAACUGCAUUUUUAACUACCGGGCUAGAGUGUGUCAGAGGGGGGUGGAAUUCCGCGUGUGGCAGUGAAAUGCGUAGAUAUGCGGAGGAACACCGAUGGCGAAGGCAGCCUCCUGGGAUAACACUGACGCUCAUGCACGAAAGCGUGGGGAGCAAACAGG
rnacentral:rRNA from 1 species